GGUUAAGCGACUAAGCGUACACGGUGGAUGCCUAGGCAGUCAGAGGCGAUGAAGGGCGUGCUAAUCUGCGAAAAGCGUCGGUAAGCUGAUAUGAAGCGUAAUAACCGACGAUACCCGAAUGGGGAAACCCAGUGCAAUUCGUUGCACUAUUGCAUGGUGAAUACAUAGCCAUGCAAGGCGAACCGGGGGAACUGAAACAUCUAAGUACCCCGAGGAAAAGAAAUCAACCGAGAUUCCCCCAGUAGCGGCGAGCGAACGGGGAAGAGCCCAGAGUCUGAAUCAGUUGGUGUGUUAGUGGAAGCGUCUGGAAAGUCGCACGGUACAGGGUGAUAGUCCCGUACACAAAAAUACACUGGCUGUGAACUCGAUGAGUAGGGCGGGACACGUGACAUCCUGUCUGAAUAUGGGGGGACCAUCCUCCAAGGCUAAAUACUCCUGACUGACCGAUAGUGAACCAGUACCGUGAGGGAAAGGCGAAAAGAACCCCGGCGAGGGGAGUGAAAUAGAACCUGAAACCGUGUACGUACAAGCAGUGGGAGCACCUUCGUGGUGUGACUGCGUACCUUUUGUAUAAUGGGUCAGCGACUUAUAUUUUGUAGCAAGGUUAACCGAAUAGGGGAGCCGUAGGGAAACCGAGUCUUAACUGGGCGUCUAGUUGCAAGGUAUAGACCCGAAACCCGGUGAUCUAGCCAUGGGCAGGUUGAAGGUUGGGUAACACUAACUGGAGGACCGAACCGACUAAUGUUGAAAAAUUAGCGGAUGACUUGUGGCUGGGGGUGAAAGGCCAAUCAAACCGGGAGAUAGCUGGUUCUCCCCGAAAGCUAUUUAGGUAGCGCCUCGUGAACUCAUCUUCGGGGGUAGAGCACUGUUUCGGCUAGGGGUCCAUCCCGGAUUACCAAACCGAUGCAAACUCCGAAUACCGAAGAAUGUUAUCACGGGAGACACACGGCGGGUGCUAACGUCCGUCGUGAAGAGGGAAACAACCCAGACCGCCAGCUAAGGUCCCAAAGUCAUGGUUAAGUGGGAAACGAUGUGGGAAGGCAUAGACAGCCAGGAUGUUGGCUUAGAAGCAGCCAUCAUUUAAAGAAAGCGUAAUAGCUCACUGGUCGAGUCGGCCUGCGCGGAAGAUGUAACGGGGCUAAACCAUGCACCGAAGCUGCGGCAGCGACGCUUAGGCGUUGUUGGGUAGGGGAGCGUUCUGUAAGCCGUUGAAGGUGGCCUGUGAGGGCUGCUGGAGGUAUCAGAAGUGCGAAUGCUGACAUAAGUAACGAUAAUGCGGGUGAAAAACCCGCACGCCGGAAGACCAAGGGUUCCUGUCCAACGUUAAUCGGGGCAGGGUGAGUCGACCCCUAAGGCGAGGCUGAAAAGCGUAGUCGAUGGGAAACAGGUUAAUAUUCCUGUACUGGGUGUGACUGCGAAGGGGGGACGGAGAAGGCUAGGCUAGCCGGGCGACGGUUGUCCCGGUUUAAGCAUGUAGGCGGAGCGACUUGGUAAAUCCGGUUGCUUAUCAACGCUGAGGUGUGAUGACGAGCCACUACGGUGGUGAAGUAGUUGAUGCCAAGCUUCCAGGAAAAGCCUCUAAGCAUCAGGUGACAUUCAAUCGUACCCCAAACCGACACAGGUGGUCAGGUAGAGAAUACUCAGGCGCUUGAGAGAACUCGGGUGAAGGAACUAGGCAAAAUGGUGCCGUAACUUCGGGAGAAGGCACGCUGGCAUUAGGUAAAGAGACUUGCUCUCGGCGCCGAAGCCAGUCGCAGAUACCAGCUGGCUGCAACUGUUUAAUAAAAACACAGCACUGUGCAAACACGAAAGUGGACGUAUACGGUGUGACGCCUGCCCGGUGCUGGAAGGUUAAUUGAUGGGGUCAGCCGCAAGGCGAAGCUCUUGAUCGAAGCCCCAGUAAACGGCGGCCGUAACUAUAACGGUCCUAAGGUAGCGAAAUUCCUUGUCGGGUAAGUUCCGACCUGCACGAAUGGCGUAAUGAUGGCCAGGCUGUCUCCACCCGAGACUCAGUGAAAUUGAACUCGCUGUGAAGAUGCAGUGUACCCGCGGCAAGACGGAAAGACCCCGUGAACCUUUACUAUAGCUUGACACUGAAUAUUGAGCCUUGAUGUGUAGGAUAGGUGGGAGGCAUUGAAGCGUGGACGCCAGUCUGCGUGGAGCCAACCUUGAAAUACCACCCUUUAAUGUUUGAUGUUCUAACUCGGCCCCAUAAUCUGGGGUGAGGACAGUGUCUGGUGGGUAGUUUGACUGGGGCGGUCUCCUCCCAAAGAGUAACGGAGGAGCACGAAGGUUAGCUAAUCACGGUCGGACAUCGUGAGGUUAGUGCAAAGGCAUAAGCUAGCUUGACUGCGAGAGUGACGGCUCGAGCAGGUACGAAAGUAGGUCUUAGUGAUCCGGUGGUUCUGAAUGGAAGGGCCAUCGCUCAACGGAUAAAAGGUACUCCGGGGAUAACAGGCUGAUACCGCCCAAGAGUUCAUAUCGACGGCGGUGUUUGGCACCUCGAUGUCGGCUCAUCACAUCCUGGGGCUGAAGUAGGUCCCAAGGGUAUGGCUGUUCGCCAUUUAAAGUGGUACGCGAGCUGGGUUUAGAACGUCGUGAGACAGUUCGGUCCCUAUCUGCCGUGGGCGUUGGAAGAUUGAGAGGGGCUGCUCCUAGUACGAGAGGACCGGAGUGGACGCAUCACUGGUGUUCGGGUUGUCAUGCCAAUGGCAUUGCCCGGUAGCUAAAUGCGGAAAAGAUAAGCGCUGAAAGCAUCUAAGCGCGAAACUUGCCUCGAGAUGAGUCUUCCCUGGGGCUUUAAGCCCCCUGAAGGAACGUUAAAGACUAUGACGUUGAUAGGCUGGGUGUGUAAGUGCAGCGAUGCAUUGAGCUAACCAGUACUAAUGAUCCGUGAGGCUUAACCUU
rnacentral:rRNA from 1 species